GUCUUCAAGUUUUUUGUUUUAAGAUUUAUGAUGGACAUAAAUGUUUAUGCUCCCAGGUAGCACUGGCAUCAGGUCAAGGACAUUUCCUUGGAGCUGUGAGGAAAUCUCGGCUAGAACUAAACCUACCGAAUGGUCGAUGUGUUGAGGCAUAUGAAGUUCCACUGUCAACAGUCUACGUUCACAUUACUACAUAAACUCAAGUUAGAGUAGCAAAUUGUUAGCAAAGGCGUUUUAUUCCUUCAACAUUGCUUGAUUAUCAAUGCAAUAGCUCUCCACUUAUGACAUAUUGAUCAACAUAUUCCUGAUUUGUGAAUAUAUAUAUAUAUAUAUAUAUUGGUUUCUCCCACAAAGAAACAAGGUUCCUCAUGGGUACAUUCACAUUUGUUGUUUCUUUAUUGGGGGCUUUUUGUGGGAGGUCUGCAGAGUUGUGUAUGCUUGGAAUUACUAUUGGAGCAGCACUAGGUACUCAUCUAGGGUAAAUGUCAAGACCAGCAAGGAGGGGAGGUAAAAAAAUUGUAUUAUCAUUUUGUGAUGAGGCUGAGUGAGAAUACAAGUCUCUUAGUUGUGGAGCAUUCUUGGGAAUGCUUCAAGUAGUUAGACAUAACAGUAUAUGCAUGUCUAAUUAAUUAGUCAUUUUGUUUUCUUCUGCUUGAGGCUUCCUAGAAAAGGAGGGAAGUCGUGGCAUCACCUUGAAGUCGUUCAGAAUGGGUAAAUUUGUACGGCAACCGACUUCAACUGCACAGUUUAUUAAGUCCGUGAAAAUGAAAGAAGCUAUUAUUUUGGCUGCCAAGAAGUUGUAGUGGAGACUGGUGAAGACUUUGGAAUGAAUCCCAAUAUUGUCAAAAUUAAUAUCAAGUUGUAGGAAAUUCAUUUGUAAAAUUUCUCUAAUUUUCAUGAAAAUUGAUUUAUGUAGUUUUUCCCAUGGAUUUUAGGUGAUGCAUAUUCGUAACGUAUUUCAUAUGGAAAAAACUAUAGGUUUCCUUGAUACUGAUAGUUGGUCCUGCUCUUGAAGAUUCCUUACCCAGUGUGUGUCGAGACGGAAUUCAAGGUGAAGUCCUGCCAAAGCUUUCUAUUGAAGUGGUGAAACCGGAGAUACAUUUGUUGUUGAUCUUUCUUUGGUUUUGGCCAUGAACGCAAUUGGUAGAUUGGAUGAUUGAGUUGCACCACAGGGAAUGCUGGAGCAGAAGACAUAACUAUGUGGAGGUUUCUGAGAAAUUUUACUUCCCAAGUCAGAGCUUCAAAGAGGUUGUCGUAUUUUGCUGCUGGCCCGGGUAUUAAUGUGAACAGAAUCCCAGACAUGGACCAGAUUAUGCAAACUUGCAAACAGAGGGCCUUUGCUAAGUCAGUCAAGUGAUUCUUCCAUCUAGGUCAAUUCACAAAAUCUCUAACUUGGAUAUACGGAGGCACACCUAGUGGCUGCCUGAAUUCCCAAACCUUUACCAAAUCAUACCGGGACUGGGGCGAGGCGAAGCCGAGCUUUACCAAAUCAUAUUGGGACUGGGACGAGGCGAAGCCGAGCUUUACCAAAUCAUAUCGGGACUGGGGCGAGGCGAAGCCGAGCUUUACCAAAUCAUAUCGGGACUGGGCGAGGCGAAGCCGAGCUUUAUCAAAUAUAAAAUAUGGUUCAAAGAAAGAGGCAUUUAUGCAUUGUAUUUAUAGUUGUAGAUUGAAUUGGUGAACCACGUUUGAGAAGCUGCCCGGGCGUAGCACGGGCAUAAAAUCUAGUCUAUUCUCAUUAAGGUAACUUUUAAUGUU